rnacentral:rRNA from 1 species
UUUAGGUAAGUAAUAAUUUAUUUUAAUUAUCUUUUUAAAAAAAAUAUUUUUAUUUAUAGUAUAAAGUUUAGAACUAAUUUUUAAUAAUUUUAUAUUUAACUGUAAAGGAUUUUAUAUUUCUUAUUGUAAGAAAUUUUUGUUAAAUGUACCUUUUGUAUCAGGGUUUAUUAAUUUUGAAUUUAAAUAUUUUUAAUUUUCCCGAAAGUUAAAGAUUUAUAUAAUAAUGGUUAAGUAAAUUUCAAAUUACUAAUAAAUUUUUAUAUAGUUGUUAUAUGCUUUUCAAUUUAAUUAUAUCUGGUUUUUACUAAAUUAAUUUAAUUAAUGUUAAGUUUUAAGUUAAAUCUUUUAUUUAAAAUAAAAUAACUUUAACUAAUUAUCAAGGGGAUAAGCUCUUGAUAAUAUUUAUAAUUUUUUUUCUAUUAAAUAUCUUAAUUAGGAUUAGUAUUGUCUUAAAUUUUUUAUAAAAAAGGUUAUUUAAAUGGUUGAUUUUUUUAAUUUAAAAAAUUAGUGAAAUGUUUAUUUUAAUUUUUUAAAUUAAGUAAUAAUGAUAAAAUUAGUAAUAUUUAAUAAUUGAUUUAAGAAUUCGGCAAAUUUUGUUCUCGAAUGUUUAAUAAAAACAUUUCUUUUUGAUUAAAAAAAUAAAAAGUAUAACCUGCUCAAUGAAGUUUAAAUAGCCGCGAUUAAAUCGUGCGAAGGUAGCAUAAUAAUUUGUCUUUUAAUUAAGGUCUUGAAUGAAUGGUUGAACGAAGAAUUAACUUUUUUAAUCAAUUUAUUUUAAAUUUUAUUUUUUAGUUAAAAAGCUAAAAUAAAUUUAUGGGACGAUAAGACCCUAUAGAAUUUAAGUAAAAUAACUAAAUUUUAAAAAACUGUUUAUUAUUUUAAAUUUAGUUAUUUUACUUGAGUUGGGGUGACUUUUAAAAUAAAUUAACUUUAAUUUAUAUUUUUCAUUAAUUAAUGAUUUUUUGAUCCUGCUUUGCAGAUUAGUAGAUUAAAUUACCUUAGGGAUAACAGCGUUAUUUUCUUGGAGAGUUCACAUUAAUAAGGAAGUUUGCGACCUCGAUGUUGGAUUAAAAUUAAGCUGUGGGGGAGUUUCUAUAGUUUUAAGUCUGUUCGACUUUUAAAAUUUUACAUGAUCUGAGUUAAGACCGGCGUGAGCCAGGUUGGUUUCUAUCUAUAAAUUUUAAUAACACCUUAGUACGAAAGGACCAGGUGUUACAAAUAAUUUUGU